AGUACUCUGGUAUAUCCGGACCAUUAGGUAUCUUUUUGGAACACCAAAAUACUAGUCCGGGAGCACUGUUAGAAUGAGCAGUAUCAAUUCAUUUCUUAGCGCCGUGGCCCUGGCUGGAGCGAUCGGUAUUGGCUAUGGAAUGUGGUCAAUUAUAUCGCCCGGAGAAGAAAGACGAAAGGAGCUUAUCAAGAAUCUGCCGGAAGCAAACCCCGUGCGAAUGGAGGAGACUCGGAGAAAAAACGCUUUGAUGCUUCAGGUGCUGAAGGAGGCGGCGGAAACCAACGACAACGUCCUCGCUCGAUACAGCCAGAAAUAAGCAAUUUAGAAAAGCUUCCACUCGACACAAAAGGGACAACAGGGAAAGACGUGCAAGGAACAACUUUAAAUGAAGGAGUGAGACAGACGGAUGGAUCCAGAGACAGGACUAUGUGAUUAAAACACCUUGGUCUCCACAAAUGUAGUAGUCUGACAUGGACUGUGUGCAUGAGUUUCUCAUUUUCUGUUUUUCACCUGAAGAUAAUUAAGCAUGUAAAUAAAUGCUAGUGAUUAUAAAAAGCAGAGUUUUCAUGACAAACAACAAAAUGUGAGACAGAUGGACUGACAAGGCUGCAUACCUUUUUUCCCUUGGGCAACAUUAAAAUGUUUAUCUAUUCCUGUAAGAGGCAGUGUAAAUUCAAGAACUGUAAUGUGGUAUGUGACUAUCAUCAGUGUAUGGGUAGGCUACAUUUUAAAUACAAAUAUAUGAAACUUGA